AAAAAAAUUUCAUGAAGAAUUUUGAAUGCUUCCAAACCAAGCAUUUCUAAAAUCACAGCCAAUGACCUAUAAUUCAUCAUCACCAUGUGGAUGAAUUAAAAUAUUUAAUCAUAUUGUCAUUUAUAUUAUUGAUUUUAUUAAUUGCCUUUUUAAGCCAUUCUUCAUGUAGAGAAAUAUUAUACAUGGUUUGACCCGGAGUCUCCAAAUUAAGCCCUGCUCCACGGGGUCUCCGGGUCAGCUUGUUCUCUCUCCCAUAAAGGGUGUCCACAUUCUGCCCACUCCCUACCCACUUUCACCGGCGCCCUGCCACGUUCUCUCCCCCUAAAGGCCGGGGUCAGCCCAUACCCGGGAUGACAAAAGCCAUCUUGGCAAAUUUACCAGGAUGGUGGGAAUUUUAGUACUAAGAUUUCUUUAACCGUAUAGUGUAAAACAGGGCAACAUCAGUUAUAGGUUUCUGUGUCUGAAUUAAGAUUAUCUUUGUCCAACACGAGGAAUAUUUGAGUGAAUAUUACACAUUAUAUAUUUGCUUUUCUUAGGAAUAUUUUAAGCAGAAUCUAAACAGUAACAAACCUUUGCAAUGUAUGGCUCAAAUAUUAGUUUACCUAUGUUGAAAUAAUCUUCAUCGUUAAGUAAUGAAACAAUAAUAAUAAUAAAAAAAAAGCUAAACUGGCUACUUCUUCCUUCCAGGUUUCCAAAAAAAAAUUGUCAGCCAAUUAGAUUUUUUUUAAAAUAUAUUUUUUUUAAUUUUAAAAAUUAUUUCAUGGUUGUAACAGGACUUAGUCCUGUUAAUAUGAUUUUUUAAAAAAAAAUAUUAAUUUACUUCUUUCAUGGUAAACUGAAUAUAUGCAGAAGACGGCAAUAAAUAUCACUUUAUCCUAAUUACCUGUAAAAUGUGUCAGUAUUAAUAAAGGACUGUCAUUUGUUGGACUUCAGAGUAUUACUUUAGUUAACCCUUUGAGAUACAAAUAACUCUGGAAUAAUUGUCUGACAUUUGAGGGGAUACUUGCUUCCUCCUCAUACAAAUUUCAGAAUUUUUCGACUAGAAGGUGCUAGUUACAACUAGUUAAGCUUCUAAUUUUAUUAUUUUAAUAAAUAUAAUUAUGUCAUAAUGUGUGCAUUACAUAUUUGCCCAGAAUAUUUCACCACUAGGAUGCCCUUCUGAUUUGGGAUUUAUUAAAGCACUGUCAAAAAAAAAAGAUAAAAAAAAAAAGAAAUAUUAUUUUCCUGUUUUGAACAGGCUGGUUUUAGUGAUGUAUGUUUUAUUGUUUAAAAGGUCUGUAAAAUACAAUGUAAAAUGUAUAUAGUGGUCUGGAUUUCCAAGAUCUUGUAGAUAUUACACGGCAAUUUACUUUAAUUCUUGAAUGGAUUUCAUUUUAAAGAAUGUUACGGGGCCACAUGUCUGAUCUAAAUUGAAAUUAACAAAAUCACAACAUUCUAAAAAAAAAUGUGUAGUUGUGUUAAAUAUAUUUUAAUUUUUUUAUUAAUUUUUUGUUAUGUUUUUAUUUUUUAUUUUUUUUAAUACAUUUUGCACAGUCACAAUUUAUAUACCAUUACAAAUGCCAUGUCGUUAUUUCUCUGAUAAUGAGAUAUGCAACUGGAAAGAUGGGCCUAUAUCAAUUCAAGAUAUAUAGCUAUUGACAGUAUUACAUUUAUUUUAUUUUGUUCUUUUUUUUUUUCUUUUUUGUUCUUU